AACUAAAUACAGCUCUUUUAGAAUUUGUUUAGCAAGUUUUCUGGUCAGCACUGGAACCACCCCA
rnacentral:snRNA from 1 species